rnacentral:lncRNA from 1 species
GAAAAAUGUUUGGAUUAAACGAACAUUUCCGAAGAUCGAUCGACAGAGCACUACAAUACUGCGCUUAGUGAAUUAGUGUGUGGAGAUUUGCUCCUGUAGCCUGUUGCAAAGACUGUAUUCAUGGACAAAGAUAUUGUCUAAAUUCUAAGCAAAAAAUAUAGCCAAUGAAGCAUAUGAAAAAAUCUGGUGUUGAGUUUGAUGUUCAGUUGUGUCAUUUGUACGAGUCCAUAGCCAGCAUUUCUGACUUAUGAAGUGGACAGGUGCCAGAAGAUUGGAAGUUGGUUAAUGUUACUACCCUUUUCAAUGGAGGUGAUAAAAACUGUUCAAGUAAUUAUAGGCCUAUUAGUCUUGCAUCAAUGGUGUGAGAGUUCGCUUGGCUCAUUGGAUAGAAAAUUGUCUGGUUGGAAGAAAGCAGAGAAUUGUUAUAAAUGGAACUGAUUCUAAUUGGAUUAAUGUUGCAAGUGGAGUACCUCAGGCUCAGUGUUUUGACCUUCGCAAGUACUUUGUACCAACUAGAGCAGUAAACCUUGUGUCAACAAAGCAAUACAUCACAGUGGGAGCUGACUUUGGCACUGUAACAUAAACAGCACAUCAUGAAACAUACAAGACAAUGGAUAAGAAGAAUAUAUUUGCUACCUCAGUGAAAUAUAACAGAGUAAACAAGAACAUGAGGAGAAGGAUGUCUGCAGAUGUUCACAACUAUCACAAAAUUUGGGAUGUUUAUUUACUUAACUUUUCUUGUUGAAUUAGAAUUUCAAUUUGAGAAAAGACACAUUUUACACCAACUAAGCUGCAUUUGUGAUUUAAGAUAAUCUUGCCUUAAGAUUGUCUAACUGAAUACCUGACCAGGGGAGAGAUUGUCAAUGAAUACACAGUAGAACUACAAAACAUAGUGCAGAAGGUGGAUGUACUGCAGAAAUAGUACAAUUGCAGAAGAUGGCUAGCAGUAUUUCUAGCAAGUGAUACAGUUUUGUUAAAAUAUCAUCCUGUAUCAGUUGCUGUAAACAAGUUUUAAGCUAAAUCUUCACCUUCUAAGUGGAACUUUAUGAAAUUGUGAGAUGUAGAACAUCAUUAAUUUAUGAACUUAAAGAUCUUAGAAGUGAUGUUAUACAGAGUAAAUAUCAUGUAUCAAAUUAAAAAAUUUAUACAUUUGUUCAUGAACCAGCAUGUUAUCGUCUGAGCUGAUGGGAAACUCUGGAUACUACAACAGUUGCUGCUGAUACUCAGCCAAAUGUGAGUUAAAGAGUGCUGUAACAAAAUCAUCACAUUGAUUAAAGAUGUCUUACAGGACUCUCUAUUUUCAAGGAGAAAAGUGUGCAAUGUACCUGCCCCCUAGUGCGGACCUACAAUGCUAAAAACUGGGUUUCGAUACUUGUGGUGGGCAGAGCACAGAUAGCUUAUUGUGUAUCUUUGUGCUUAAUUACAAACAACAAUAACAGCAAUGUACCUUUUGCUUCAAUAUUAUUCUGCUACACUGAAUCAGAGCCAAAAAUUUCAUUAUAAUGAUGGUAAAAGAAAAAUAUGUAACUGACUUCUGCUAUUGUUCUGGUAAGCUGAACAGCCAGAACUUUGGGUACAUAUAACCUGAUUAUUGCAAAGUUAUCAUGAUAUAAUACCAUAUAGUGUACUCAGUGUUGUUUUGGAUGAAAAGGUAUACUUUAUGUGAAAGUUGAGAUGUAUGUACAAAGUAAUUAAAUUUAUCACUUCUUCAGAUGGAAUGGGAGGUGUAUUCCUUCAUUUUUUAAAUUAUUUAAUUAUUAUUAUAUUUUUAUUCUAUAUAACUUUUCCUCUGUUGUUUAGUUGACCUGUUUCUUGUGAUUGUUUAUGUAUUAUGCCAGUUCAAAUCCUGUUAGAAUUAAUUGUAAAAUUAUUCUUAUAGUGAGACAGUUGCAUUGAAGGCUUUGUUAUGAUAAUUAUGGUCAUAUUUUAAUCAGUCUUUUACUCUUUGUAAAUGGAUAAGUCAAUCAGAUAUUUGUCAGUAGCCAAUAAUCAUCCCACUCUUAACUAUAAUCUCAUCAUCUGGUAGAAAAUAAAAGAAAACUGAAAACUACUACUUAGAUACUCGAGAAUAUGGAGUUUUAGAUUGAAUAUUACUUGAAACUUGGUUAUAAUUUAGAAGUGUUGUGUUUUACAAAUUCUUAUUAAUCAGAGUGUGAAAGUGUUGUAUGAUUAAAUAGGUUUUGUGAUAAUUAACAAAGUUAGGUUUUUCUUUCUAGUACUUUUUCCUAACUUCUUGUAUCAGUGUUGAGUUAGAAAUUUGAAGUUCAGUUGUGUUGUUUAUAAAGGUCUGAGUUCACCAUUUUUGACUCAUGAAUACAUUCCGUUUAAUUUGUGGAAGUCAUAAAAUACCUUAUUUGUUUUUU